AAAGCUUUCUAGCGUUGCUUGAAAGCCUUGAAAAGUUAGGGGAGGCAAACAUCCACAGCCUCCAUCAGCCUCCACAGCUUUUCAGCACCAGAAAGCAACAAUUCUACAGCAAUAAAACUUUUUUUUUAAUUCCCCAUCAAGAGCUGGACUAGCACACCACCUUCACC
rnacentral:lncRNA from 1 species